CUACGGGUCGCUCCAGUGAGGAAUAUUGGUCAAUGGGCGAGAGCCUGAACCAGCCAUCCCGCGUGCAGGAUGACGGCCCUAUGGGUUGUAAACUGCUUUUCCAUACCAAGAAACCUGAUUACGUGUAAUUAGUUGCCGGUAGUAUGGGAAUAAGCAUCGGCUAACUCCGUGCCAGCAGCCGCGGUAAUAUCGGAGGAUGCAAGCGUUAUCCGGAUUCAUUGGGUUUAAAGGGUGCGCAGGUGGGCUUGUAAGUCAGUGGUGAAAUGUUGCCGCUUAACGGUAAAAUUGCCAUUGAUACUGCAAGUCUUGAAUAUAGUUGAGGUAGGCGGAAUGUGUUGUGUAGCGGUGAAAUGCAUAGAUAUGACACAGAACACCGAUUGCGAAGGCAGCUUACUAAGCUAUUAUUGACGCUGAGGCACGAAAGCGUGGGGAUCGAACAGGAUUAGAUACCCCAGUAGUC
rnacentral:rRNA from 1 species